GAUGAACGCUGGCGGCGUGCCUAACACAUGCAAGUCGAACGGAAAGACCCUGAGCUUGUGCUCUUCACGGUAGCGGCAGGCGGGUGGGUAACGCGUGUAUCACCCACUUCUAUUUCGGGGAGCAUCACGGAAGUCCGGCUAUAAUACUAUAGAAUAUCCUGCACCGCUGUGUGCAAUGGAAAAUCUCGGCUUUUCUGGCUGUAAUAGCUGGUUCCGCGCUGGAUUAGCUAGUUGGUAAGGUAACAGCCUUUCAAGGGUACGAAGCGUAGACGAGCGGAGGGGAUGAUCGGCCACACUGGAACUGAGACACGGUCCAGACUCCUACGGGAGGCAGCAGUAGGGAAUGUUGGGCAAUGGGCGGAAGCCUGACGCAGCAAGGCCGCGUGGGUGAUGAAGGCCUUCGGAUCGUAAAGCCCUGUUGUUGGGGAAGAACAGCUGUGGAUUAAAACAAAGCGGGCGUGACGGUACCUAAUAAAGAAGCACCGGCUAACUACGUG
rnacentral:rRNA from 1 species